rnacentral:rRNA from 1 species
UACGUAGGGAGCAAGCGUUGUCCGGAUUUAUUGGGCGUAAAGAGCUCGUAGGCGGUUCGGUAAGUCGGGUGUGAAAACUCUGGGCUCAACCCGGAGAGGCCACUCGAUACUGCCGUGACUUGAGUCUGGUAGGGGAGCACGGAAUUCCUGGUGUAGCGGUGAAAUGCACAGAUAUCAGGAGGAACACCGGUGGCGAAGGCGGUGCUCUGGGCCAGUACUGACGCUGAGGAGCGAAAGCGUGGGGAGCGAACGGG